CCAACAAUUAAUUUGACCAAAACCUCACAAUAUAUCAUCAUUUGUAUGCACAGAUUGGAUGCAUUGUGUGUUGUAAGCUUUUCGUGGCGCUAGAUGUCAGACAGAUGCAAAUGGCAAAUACAUACAAAAGUGUAAAACGUGUAAGGCUAACGUGAACGUUUGUUUUUUUUCUGUCAUUAUAGAUGCAAGUUUGGUGAAAGUUCACACUGAGUGCUUCAAAUCAUUCAGAAGAGAUGCUGUUUUUAGGGCAGUUUAUUAAAGAAGACCUGACAUGGAUGACUUCCAAUGAGAAACGACUGCUAAUACUUAUAUAAAUUCAUUACAGAAGGACCCUACCAGACUAUAUUUGAAUACGGCAUACCAUGAAUUCUGGAACUGUUAUUCCUUAACCCAGUUUGGAGGAUAAGAGCUUACCAACUAGUUAUAAAUAUGCUGAGGUGAUGUAUUGCAAAAUAGCCAACAUACAACAAUAUGGAUGACCCUCUGUCUGGUCAACAGGAGUUUAAAUAUGGACGGGACAGUGAUGUGGCAGCUCUUCCCUGGCUCAUUCACCUCUUGCCUUCAUUUGUGAAAGGAAGAAAGACUGGAGAGGGUCGAUGUGCAACUGAAGCUACUGAUUGUGCUGUGUGAUGAGCAUCAAUCCAUGCUUUAAGGGGGAUGAAUCAGCACAGCCCUGCCUGCUCUGCGUUGGGAACAGAAGUUGCAUUCAGAAUUUUUGCAUCAUUCUGGACCAAAAAGCCAUUCCCUCCAUGAUGAAGACCACUGAUGCAGCCUUCCACUACAUCAUGAGUAAAACAACUACAGAACUAAAUACCAGGUUGGAACGUAUUUAAGAAAAAUGAAACGUCUUUUGAAUUGAAAUGUCUGUUUUGUUAUGGAAAAAUCUUUAGUAUUGUGAAGGAUAAGCAUUUCUGCCUGCCAGUAAGGUAAUUGCAGUGUAUUUUAAUGUUCAAGUUUUGAGUAGGGUGGCUAAUUUUUUUUAAACUCUCAUUUGAUAUAUUAAAGACCUUAUAAUAAGUGGUUUUCAUGUCACUGCGCUGUGGUAUAAGAUAACUUUCAUUAUUCCAUACUGUAUUAUGUUUUUUAAUUGUAGCUGAGGUAUUUAAAUAAGCAGUAUUAAAUGCAAAGUGUUGUGUGUAUCAAUGUAAAUAUUAAAUGUGAUGUACUUUAAUAAAAAGAGGUUUUGCAAUA